rnacentral:rRNA from 1 species
UACGAAAGGUGCAAGCGUUACUCGGAAUCACUGGGCGUAAAGCGCACGUAGGCGGACUCGUAGGUCAAUUGUGAAAUACCUGGGCUCAACCCGGGAACUGCAGUUGAAACCGCUUGUCUUGAAUACCUGAGAGGGUGGGGGAAUACCUGGUGGAGAAGUGAAAUUCGUAGAGAUCAGGUGGAACACCGGAGGCGAAGGCGCCUGCCUGGCAGUGUAUUGACGCUGAGGUGCGAAAGUGCGGGGAGCAAACAGGAUUAGAAACCCUGUAGUCC